UACAGAGGUCUCAAGCGUUGUUCGGAUUCAUUGGGCGUAAAGGGUGCGUAGGCGGCGCGGUAAGUCGGGUGUGAAAUCUCGGAGCUUAACUCCGAAACUGCAUUCGAUACUGCCGUGCUUGAGGACUGGAGAGGAGACUGGAAUUUACGGUGUAGCGGUGAAAUGCGUAGAUAUCGUAAGGAAGACCAGUGGCGAAGGCGGGUCUCCGGACAGUUCCUGACGCUGAGGCACGAAGGUCAGGGGAGCGAAACGGG
rnacentral:rRNA from 1 species